GAGGGGCGUUGGCCACCCCGAGGACGGUGGAGUGAUGCUCAAUGGUGGCAAGCCGGUGGGGAUCCUCAAUGGGACUGUCUGUAGAUUGAUCCGAAAUAUUAGAAAUGCAGGCCAACCGAGCAUUGUGGCUCCAAGCAUGAGCUUCCACAAUGUUGCAAUGGAGGUCAUCCAGUGCAGCAGAUAUCUCGGAGAUGAGACCGGGCUGAACCCACUCUACAUGUACGAAUUAUCUACAGCAUUUUAGGAUGGAACCAUUUCAAGGGAUUCCAUUAAGGGGAAAAAAAAUCUACCAUUUAUAGGGAUUCUUCUGCUUUGUUCGUUCUCAACUCGGAAUAAUCUGCCAACUCGACUUUUUUUUUUUCUAAUUUAAAUUAUACGUUCAAUUAUAUGAUCAACAAUCUAGCACGCUAGACAGCCUAUUUACAUCCAAUAUUCAUAUCGAGAUAUCGAAUGAACAAUAUGCUUGGUUACUAACCGAGACAAAUGUCUCUUAAUUCAGCCAAUUAACAUGUGUAUUUAGUCGAUAUCGGUUACCUCAAUAAAGCCAUGAAUGGAAUUGAAUCA